GACGAACGCUGGCGGCGUGCUUAACACAUGCAAGUCGAACGGAAAGGCCCUGCUUUUGUGGGGUGCUCGAGUGGCGAACGGGUGAGUAACACGUGAGUAACCUGCCCUUGACUUUGGGAUAACUUCAGGAAACUGGGGCUAAUACCGGAUAGGAGCUCCUGCUGCAUGGUGGGGGUUGGAAAGUUUCGGCGGUUGGGGAUGGACUCGCGGCUUAUCAGCUUGUUGGUGGGGUAGUGGCUUACCAAGGCUUUGACGGGUAGCCGGCCUGAGAGGGUGACCGGCCACAUUGGGACUGAGAUACGGCCCAGACUGCUACGGGAGGCAGCAGUGGAGAGUAUUGCACAAUGGGCGGAAGCCUGAUGCAGCAACGCCGCGUGCGGGAUGACGGCCUUCGGGUUGUAAACCGCUUUCGCCUGUGACGAAGCGUGAGUGACGGUAAUGGGUAAAGAAGCACCGGCUAACUACGUG
rnacentral:rRNA from 1 species